CUUCUAGGCUAAAAUCCCAGCUUCCAUGGAUUCACGCAGUUUCAGCCACAAAUAUUUACCUUGCCUGGCUCCUGGAGCUAAUUAAAGGGGAAGGGCUCUGGCCCUCUGGGCUCUCCCUUAAACUGCUGUCAGAGACAGGAGCAGCUGCAGGACAAGAACGGCAGCCCCAUAACUCAUCUCUGCAUCUACACAGCGACUUCCUCACAAAUGUCCUCUUCAAAUCAGGUCUUCCCACCAUCACAUGUACAGAUACUGAUCCUGUAAAUCACCCUAUCUGGAAGUACUGGGAGAGGAGAACUAAGCAAGAGUCAAGAAGAGGCCCAGUGGGGAUGGUGUUGGAGGUCAGCCCAGGAUGAAGUGGACAGCCAAUUGACAGCAAGCGGAACUAUGGACAAACACAUCAACAGAUCUGGUUUUCCAAGAAAAGCUAGACAUUU